rnacentral:rRNA from 1 species
AUGAACGCUAGCGGCGUGGAUAAGGCAUGCAAGUCAAGGGGGUUUUGCAAGUUGCAAAACAACCGGCGAACGAGUUAGUAAUACGUAGAAACAUACCCCAGAGUCUCGCAUAGCUCCGCGAAAGCGGAGGUAAUUCGAGAUAGUUCUCGCAAGAGUAAAGAUUUAUCGCUUUGGGAUUGGUCUGCGUCCUAUCAGCUAGUUGGUGAGGUAAUGGCUCACCAAGGCAAUGACGGGUAGCGGUUCUGAGAGGAUGAUCCGCCACACUGGUACUGAGACACGGACCAGACUCCUACGGGAGGCAGCAGUGAGGAAUAUUGCACAAUGGGGGGAACCCUGAUGCAGCAACGCCGCGUGGAGGAUGACGCAUUUCGGUGUGUAAACUCCUUUUAUAUGUCAAGAAAAUGACGGUAGCAUAUGAAUAAGCACCGGCUAACUCCGU